GAUGAACGCUGGCGGCAGGCCUAAUACAUGCAAGUUGAACGGGAUUAAGUAGCAAUACUUAUGAGAGUAGCGCACGGGUGCGUAACGCGUAUGCAAUCUACCUUUAACUGGGGAAUAGCCCCGAGAAAUCGGGAUUAAUACCGCAUAAUAUUAUCGAAUGGCAUCAUUUGAUACUCAAAACUACGGUGGUUAAAGAUGAGCAUGCGUGACAUUAGCUAGUUGGUGAGGUAACGGCUCACCAAGGCUCCGAUGUCUAGGGGGUCUGAGAGGAUGAUCCCCCACACUGGUACUGAGACACGGACCAGACUCCUACGGGAGGCAGCAGUAAGGAAUAUUGGUCAAUGGACGCAAGUCUGAACCAGCCAUGCCGCGUGCAGGAUGACUGCCCUAUGGGUUGUAAACUGCUUUUGUACGGGAAGAAACCUCGCUACGUGUAGAGAGCUGACGGUACCGUAAGAAUAAGGAUCGGCUAACUCCGUGCCAGCAGCCGCAGUAA
rnacentral:rRNA from 1 species